rnacentral:rRNA from 1 species
UGGGGAAUAUUGGACAAUGGGCGAAAGCCUGAUCCAGCCAUGCCGCGUGUGUGAAGAAGGUCUUCGGAUUGUAAAGCACUUUAAGUUGGGAGGAAGGGCAGUAAGCGAAUACCUUGCUGUUUUGACGUUACCGACAGAAUAAGCACCGGCUAACUCUGUGCAAGCAGCCGCGGUAAUACAGAGGGUGCAAGCGUUAAUCGGAAUUACUGGGCGUAAAGCGCGCGUAGGUGGUUCGUUAAGUUGAAUGUGAAAGCCCCGGGCUCAACCUGGGAACUGCAUCCAAAACUGGCGAGCUAGAGUAGGGCAGAGGGUGGUGGAAUUUCCUGUGUAGCGGUGAAAUGCGUAGAUAUAGGAAGGAACACCAGUGGCGAAGGCGACCACCUGGGCUCAUACUGACACUGAGGUGCGAAAGCGUGGGGAGCAAACAGG